GGUCUGGUGGUGUAGUUGGUUAUCACGUCAGUCUAACAGUCCGAGAUCUCCUCAUCGAGCUCUCCUCUGUUCCACUGAAGGUCUCCGGUUCAAGUCCGGGCUAGAUCA
rnacentral:tRNA from 1 species